UUUAAAUUUAUUUAANUUGGCGGCAUUUUUAUAACAGAGGAAUUUGUACCUUAAUUUGAUGAUCCUCGUUUGACCUUACUUUAUGUGUGAUUGUUUAUAUACCGUUGUUGAAUUGAUUUUUUAAGAAUUUUAUUUUUAUAUUGUCGAUUUAGAAAGUUGAGAUUUGAUUUCAAAUCAAGGUGUAGUUUGUAUAAAGAGGAUAUUAAUUACUUUGUUCAGGUAUUUAGGUAGUAGAAAGAUUUUUGUUCUAUUUUAUUUUUAUUGUAAUGAAAUUAAGAUGGAAGGAUUUGUUUGUAGGAGGAAAAUAGUUUGUUUUUUUGAUUAAAUUACUAUGAUUGAAAUGUGUACAUACCGCCCGUCGCUCGCGGGA
rnacentral:rRNA from 1 species